GACGAACGCUGGCGGCGUGCCUAAUACAUGCAAGUAGAACGCUGAAGGAGGAGCUUGCUCUUCUGGAUGAGUUGCGAACGGGUGAGUAACGCGUAGGUAACCUGCCUGGUAGUGGGGGAUAACUAUUGGAAACGAUAGCUAAUACCGCAUAAUAACAGUUGUUGCAUGACAACUGUUUGAAAGGUGCAAUUGCAUCACUACCAGAUGGACCUGCGUUGUAUUAGCUAGUUGGUGGGGUAACGGCUCACCAAGGCGACGAUACAUAGCCGACCUGAGAGGGUGAUCGGCCACACUGGGACUGAGACACGGCCCAGACUCCUACGGGAGGCAGCAGUAGGGAAUCUUCGGCAAUGGACGAAAGUCUGACCGAGCAACGCCGCGUGAGUGAAGAAGGUUUUCGGAUCGUAAAGCUCUGUUGUAAGAGAAGAACGAGUGUGAGAGUGGAAAGUUCACACUGUGACGGUAUCGUACCAGAAAGGGACGGCUAACUACGUG
rnacentral:rRNA from 1 species